UGUGUGUUGUGUGGCAGUUUGGAGAGACCCAAGAGACAGACGGUGUGGCGGUUUGGAGCAGACAGACAGAGACACUUCGGGGUACAGCGUCUUGGAAGAGACUGCUGGCCUCCUCUGCUGCUGAUGGAAAACUGAUGUGAGUUUCGCCUGCAUUGAAGUCUCCUUAGCACGCAGCUUCAUGCGGGGGAAAGGAGGAAUUGGUUAGACUGGAUGGAUGUUUCUGGCUCUCUCUGUGUCAUUAUUUUGGUUCAGACACAUCAUCCCUGACAAUAAUCCCACUGGCUUUGGGACGGGUGAGGUUGCUGUCCCUCUCCACCACCUACUCCUGGCCAUCUUAGUAUGCGCUCUGUUCACCUACCAUGUUGGUCACAUUCCCUCUGUCACUCAAGACUACCGCACCUGCUACCGUCUACUUCAUACGCUAUUGCCAUCUGGAGGUGGCAAAUCUCCCACUGUGGCAGGGCUGCAGUGGCGAAGCCUUUGAGAAGUAAGGCUGCUGGGAGGUCCUUGGGUCAGGGAGCACUUCUCAGAAAGGACUGUGGAACUCCAAGCUCUCUGGUUUCCUGUUUUCCACCGUGAAUCUUUGUACUCUUAGCAUUGUGGUGUCAUUUGCCACAAGAUCCUCAGCAGAGCAAAUACCACAUCACUUUAAACAAUUGGCACCCAUGAGGGUAACCCACAUGGAUGGCCUGGCACAUAAUUCCUUACCCCUCAUAUAUCAGGUACCUUUAAUCUCCCAUUAACCUCAGGAGCCGACUCUCAUCUCUAAUCUGAAACCACAUCACCUCCAACACAAGUUCACAUGAUCUUCAAUCUUCUCAGUCCUCUGGCUUACCUGACCUUACUGUGGCUCCUCUAUGCCUUUGUUGAACCCCUAGAACUUCUGGGCCACCUGGCUGUGUCACUAUCCAAGGGCUCCCCUCGUGUCUGGUAUCCUCUUUCCCCACAUUGUAGUUCCCCAGCAUCAUGUCUAUCAAAUGUUGCCCCUGCCUCAGUGGCAGCCUCUUGUCCUGUCCAUGCCCACACCUGUUGAUUCCUGUGGUCAGGACCUCCACCACAUUGGACCCAUUUUCUUCAUGGUUUAGGCUAAAGUAUGUUUCCCCAGAUGUCCUUUGCUGAAGCUGGAGCCCAUAGUGUGGUUAUAAUUAGAGCCAUGACUUUAGGAGAAAAAUCCAGGCUUGAUGAUAAGACUGCAAGAGUGGAGUCAGUAGGAUUGGCGGCAUUAACAAAAACAAACAAACAAACAAACAAAGUAAAUGAAAGAAAAGAAAAAGAGAAUAAGAGAAGAAUGCCUCCUCCAUCCCAAGUGAGUACUCAUGGAAGACAACGGAAGGAUGCAGCCCAAAGGUGGCUUUCUGCAAGCCAGAAUCUCACCAGGAGCCAUGUUAUCCAGCACCUUGAUACUAGUCUUCUGGUGGCAGAAUUAUGUUUAAACCUCCAGCCUUUGGAAUUUUGUUAUGGAAGCCCAACCUAACUAAGAUACA